CUUAACUGAGGACGAAAUUGUCGAUCAAAUAUUCCAUUCCUCCCCAGAAGGAUUAUUCACUAUCCUAUCUGUAUAUCCCUUCAACGUCGAAGAAGGCUCGUGUAAAAUCGAAGAAGCAUCAAUUACCUUCGAUCAUCCGCUCAAUGAGCAGGAAUCACAAGAGUAUCACGACCAAAGAGAAAAGGUAAGUCAACACCGAACUGACCUAACUUCUAGGCUUGAAGAAGCUUAUGAGAUAGGCCAGCCUGAAAUCUUUCCAGGAUUUCAGGAAAGGCUAGAAGAGCAAAUAUCUUUAGCUGACGGUUGCUCCAAUG